AUCGUCGUCGCCCUUCAAUUGCGCCGCAGCAGAGGCGCCGCCAUCGCGACUCAGGAAACCGCUCAAAUUCGACUAAAAAUCUAUAUCUCCAAAAAUCUCUACCGUUUCUCGACUUCUCACCUUUCUUCUCCUAAAAUUCUCUGCCAGCAACAGAGCACAAGUUGUCGCCGCUUCUUCCCUAAACAACCCCCAAUAUUCCAUCAAAACAGGUUGUCAGUCUGAAGUCCCCAAAACCAUCGUAUAGACCAUCAUAUUUUCUCUCUCUCUAGAAAAAUACACUAGAAAAAUAUCCAUUAAACCUGCACUGCUAAUCUCUUCAAAAAAAAUGGUGAAUAUCAUCUCUUAGACACGACAACUGUCAUGAAUUCCCUUUAUUUCCACUCAAUCCAUCAAUUUAAUAGAAAAUAAAAGAUCUAAAAUUUGAAAUCACAAAAUUGCAGCCUACCACCAUCACCGGUGCCUCCCCAAAAUCGGUGGUUAAUCGCCGUCGUUCUCUGCCAAAAUUCUAAAGCACCAUUGCUCGAAGCUAUACAACCAUAUUCUGUAAGACUCCCUAAAAAAACAACCACGGCUCAGAGAGAGCAUCGUUCUUUCUCUUUCGAAUUCCCCAGCAAUCUUCUCAGUCCAAAUAUGUGAUCAUCGCCGGCGAGUCGGACUCCGUCGUGAAAGACCACUCGUCCGUGUUCGUGCUGUUUCUACAGGUUUUGGACUCAAAUUACGCUGAUUUGGAUGAUAUUGAAGAGAAGUACAAGAAGAGACGAGUUCGUAGGCGCAAACGGAGGUCAAAUUGGACACCAGACAAGAAAGGACGAGCGUCGUGAAGUUCGCAGGUCGGAGCGCACGCGUCGGUGGUCGCGCGGUCCGGGCAUGCGGCCGCAUGGCCCGGUCACGUGAUGAAAUAGAAAAUUUUGGACCACACCAUGCAGGCUCAGCAUGCGGCAGUGCGAGCCGGCCGCGCGAGACACCGAAUUUCCGCCCAAACUUUCGAAUUUUAUCAGUAUACGCGAUUUUGGGGUAUUUUGAGCUCUACAAGACCUAGGGCAUAUAAAUAUUCCCCAAGAACUUGUUCUCCACACCUUUUAUCAAUCUUUCAUCAUAUUUUAUUUUUCCUGAGAGAUGCGAGAGACGGAGAACGGAGCCAGAGCAAGAACUGAAGAAUCUGAACUUCACUACGGUUUUAUUGUUGAAUGUUUUCCUGUUUUAUGGAGACUUUGAUUCUAGUUCAUAUGUCUAUGUGUGGCUAGAAUCCCAUUUCCUAGGGUUUAGGGAGUAAACAUGAUUUGAUUUUCUAACUGUUUGAUUUAAUCAAUUGAGAUUUCUAUUCCUUUUUA